GUGGGUAUGGCUCAGUGGUAGAGCCCUUGCUUAGCAUGCACAAGCUCCUGGGUUCAAUCCCCGAUACCUCCA
rnacentral:tRNA from 1 species